rnacentral:lncRNA from 1 species
UAAUUUCAAAUUUGGGAAAGAAGUUAUGAUGUAAUUGUAGGGCUGAGCUUUUAUUUUGGGUAGAAAUAGAUUGCUACCUUCCUUUUCUAAUCCUCAGAUUACUCCCUUCCUUCUAAUCGUGAGAUUACUCCUUUCCUUCUUCUAAUUCUGAGAUUGCUCCCUUCCUAAUUCUAAUCCUGAGAUUGCUUCCUUUUUUAAUCCUAAUUCUAAUCCAGGCGGAGGGUGGUGAGGCGAAGGCGCGGGCGCAGGAGGCACUUGAGGCGCUGGCCAAGCCAGGGACGGCCGCAAGACCUUCCUCGCCUAGAGCUCGCCUGGAUCAUCACCGACGACUUGGAGCAGAGGGACGGCCGCGGGAGCUCCCUGGCCUGGAGCAGAGGCCGCCAACCUGGAGAUGCCGGGGGCGGUGCGGUGGUGGGGCGGCGACCUGCUGGCCGGAGCAGGUGGAUGGGCGGCGAGUUGUGGAGGCGGGCAUCCGCGAUGGAUCUCCUGUGCUCCGCGAGAUUGGAUUGCCGGCUCUGGCGGGAGGCCGGCGGGAGCUCCGCCUGCCUUCGGCGGCGCGAGGGCAGCGGGACGGCGACGCGAGGGUAGCGAGCCAGCGGGAGCUCCGCUUGCUUCUGGGGGAAGAUUUCAGUUUGGAUUUCAAUUUGAAUUUCAAUUUCCAGCCCAAAUUUCAAACGAAUUUCAAUUUGAGGGAUCUUUUGACAAAAAUUCAAUUGCACGGGAGGGGUGGAAGGAUGC